rnacentral:lncRNA from 1 species
UGGUAUGCCGUAGGCCUUCUGGAAGAGCUCUCAGCUUGGGACAAUUAAAUAGUCCCAACUUCGUUAGACGAGGUAGCAACUUGGGGGCUCCUCUUCUUUCUUCACCAAGCUCCUCCACCAUACCAAACGACCAUUCUUCCCAGUUGGACAUCUCCUUAAAAUACAGCCCUUCAAGGUUGGGAAACGAAGUCGCUGCUGACGAUGCACGGGGGCCAAGAAAUUCAGGUCCGAUGGUUUUGAUUGCACCUGCUCCAAUCGCAAGGAAUGUCAGCUGGGGCAACAGGCCCAGUGGAGGAAGAGCUCUCAGCUUGGGACAAUUAAAUAGUUCCAACUUCGUUAGACAAGGUAGCAACUUGGGGGCUCCUCUUCUUUCUUCACCAACCCCCUCCACCAUACCAAACGACCAUUCUUCCCAGUUGGUCAUCUCUUCAAAUUUCAGCUGUUCAAGCUUGGGAAAUGAAGUCGCUGCUGACGAUGCACGGGGGCCAAGAAAUUCAGGUCCGAUGGUUUUGAUUGCACGCAUUCUCCAAAUGCAAAGGGAUUUCAGCUGGGGCAACAGGCCCAGUGGAGGAAGUUGUGGGAAUGAUAUACAAUUACAUAAUUUUAUGGAUGUCAGGUUAGGAAAAGAGGCACUCAAAGGAGAGGACAUCAUCCAGCCCAAAAAUCCAGUACCGAUGAAGUCAUAAAUCUUGAGUUUCUGUAGGUGGGUGGAUUGAGGAGAGAGCUCAUUAUAAAUCUUGUCAUUUCUCUGGAUUGAAAUUGCUUCUUCCUCUUCAUUACUCUGGAUUGCCAUUGCUUCUUCCUCGUCAUUACUCGGGCUUUCCAUUGCUUCCCCCAUCAAAAUUAAUGUCCUCAGAGAGCGGCUGUUUGCGAGUACCAAAGCUCCGCUUGGUUGUGCCCUCUUCAAAUUGUUUAUCUCCAGGAAUCUCAGCCGGGACAGAGAUUGUAGCUCCUUCAAAUCACACCCCUCAUCAUCUCUUCUAUCAUCAUGGCCGAUCACAAAUCCUUGAAGAUGGUUCAAAUGUUUUAAUUUGCCUAUUCCCUUUGGCACAUGAGUUAAUGGAGUUUCUUCAAUACAAAGGCAUCUUAGAUUGCACAAUUUGGUGAUGGCCUUAGGGAGAGUAUGCAAGUAUCCACAACCUGAUAGGUUCAAUACCUCUAGGUUUACCAGGCAUCCGAUGGACUCUGGCAACUCUUCGAUAUCCGUCCCAGAAACAUUUAAAUAUCUCAGAUGCAAAAGAUCUCCGAUGGAGUGGAGGCUCUCAAGUCUCGUACCGCUCAGGUUCAUGACUCGUAGAAACGUCGAACUUUCAAAAAGUUCAUUCUCGACCAUCGGCAACUUUAAACUCCUCCAAACAAGAAGAGUUCUUAGGCAUUUUUGCUGUUUCAUUACAUCAGGAACUUCUAGUAUCUCCCCUGUGUUAACCAUUGACAAACGACGUAGUUUACUCAAAGGAUUUGCGUUAGGUGAUUGUUCGUGAUCACCAAGAAAAAUGCUCUCAUCACGCAUCAAAAAAUGAGCAAGGGAACGUAGCAGAUCAUGCAUCUUGCAGUAAUUGCCAGCUACGUCACUCAAGCGACCAUACUUAUCACAUGGCUGUAAAAGAUUCCUCCCGAUUAACUCCCUAUAGAAAUCCUCUGCUAAAUCUUCCAUAAUUGUAUCUCCCUCUGCUCUUCUUACAAAGCCUUCAGCCACCCAAUAACGAAUAAGUUCACCGCGAUCCAUGGUAAAAUCCUCAGGAAACAACGAACAGUAUAGAAAACACUGUUUGAGAUCAGAUGGUAAAUAUUCAUAGCUUAAAAAUAGAGCUCUGGGGAGUUGUUCUUGAAGUUGGCUCAUAGACCAGGCAUCACUUUUGAGAAUCUUAUUCCAUUCCACGUUGCUUCUCUCCUUCGACCUUAAAACCCCUCCAAUGGUUUUGAUUGCAAGAGGAAGACCGCCGCAUUUUUUAACAAUUUUAACCCCAAUUUCUUGUAAGCUAGAGAUCUCCUCCUCCUCAUCAUCAUUAUCUCCAAAGACUAUCUUGCAGAGCAAUUUCCAACCACUGUGGUCAUCCAUUUUAUCAACAUGAUGGAUCUCUGCUCCCUCUGUUACAAUACUUCCAGCCACGUUCCUAUCUCGAGUGGUAAUUACAAUCUUGCCGGUAGAUGUUGCAUUUUCAAUGGCAUAUCUAAGCAAAUCCUCCCAUACAUCUUUUUCCCAUACAUCAUCUAAUACAAUAAAGAAUCUUUUUGAAAGAANNNNNNNNNNNNNNNNNNNNNNNNNNNNNNNNNNNNNNNNNNNNNNNNNNNNNNNNNNNNNNNNNNNNNNNNNNNNNNNNNNNNNNNNNNNNNNNNNNNNUGGAGGAAGCCAGGGGAAUAAAAUGAAGAUGAGGUGUCGCGUACCGCUAAUGUGGAGGGAUGAUUUUCCAACAAUAUUCUGCCCUCGAUCAUACAACGCUCGAUGAUAUCCUCCGCAUCAUACAUCACAUCUUUCAACUCCACCACCCAGUUAUUGAUGGUCCGGUCUUCAUGCCUCUUGUGCUCUGCUGAUUCAAGAUAUCCGCUUAGCCUCUCUAUUCUUCUUUGAAGCUGCUUGAGCUCGUCCUGCACAUCUCGCAUAAUGAAAAUCUCUCCCCAGAUAAAUUCUGAGAGCUUGUCAAGCAAUUUUCCCACAAAGGCUUCUAAGAUCAUGGCCAUUUUUUCAGACUGGCAGAGGAGGAUGGAUCUCUCACCACUCAAAGAGAAGAGCAGGUCGUGAGGCAUUAUUGAUCCUUUUAAGUCUAUAUGUAAAGAUCCCAAAUACCUUGACCUCGAUGAUUGACGGUAUUUUAAGGUGCUUUGAUAGCUGUGCAGUGGAUGAUCCAGCGGUCGCCAGGCAAGGAAGGAAGGUGCGUUUUUCUUUCGCGCGAGGGAUAUCAGUGUUUAAUGAUAGGCAUUUGCGACGGUGCUCCCAAGGCCAUUUAUGGCAUCCUUCAUUUAAAUAAAUUCUGGCCGUCCGAUUAAUAAGGAACGGCAAAAAAAGUUUUUAUCGGAAACUUCCAGUAGCCAGUCACGUGGCAGGUGCGUGUAAUUUGUUCAAAAGUCAGGGGCGUUUACAAAAUGUGACUUCGGUUGUACGGUAAUUGUUGAGCGGCAUUUUGGAAGUCAUCUUCUUCCUCAUUCUCAAUCGUUUUCAAACUUGUGUUCUUCCUUAUUUCUCGAUCCAUGGUAUCCAUCUCCUAUUGGCGAUCAAGUAGAAGAUCAUGUGAAGCGACGAUUGGUGCUCGUCGGCGGUUGUGGAUGAUAUGUCUUCGUCUCAUUGGUAUUUUUCGAUGGCGUGCGGCGGCUGCCAUAAUGUCGUGGAUCGUUCCCGUAUUGGUCUUCUCUACUAGAGGGUGUCUUUUACCACGUUCGAUCAGUGUUCCGGUCGAUCAUUUAUUCAAGGAAUACCCUCUUUUACUUCCCGCAGACCAACUGUUCGACGAAAUUCCGAACCACCUUCCGACCAACAAUUUUCUUCAGUUCUUUCAUCAAACAGUAAGUUGUCUGUUAUGAAACCUUUCAUUCAUUUGGUUGGUUUAAUUUAUCUUAUAAGAAAAGAAAAGUUUUGAAGUUCUCGUGUAAAGCGAAUUCUGUUGGAAUCCAAAAAAAAGAAAAAUGAUACAUGGUGUUGGGGUAAUGCAUAUUCGGUAUUCAAAUGGUGGUUAUUAGAUGGUAGAGAUAAAUCUAUCUAUUUACCAUUCUGUCACUGACUUCAUGAACAGUAUAUUUGAAAUUCGAAUUUCUUUAUGUCAGUUGAGCACAUAUUUAUUUUACUGUUAUCUACCGUCACUUCCCAUUAUAAGGCCAGUGCUUCAUGCCAGAAACAUAUCUGACUAACUAAAAGAUGGCCAUUAUUUUCAUUUCGUGAUGUAUGUACAUGUAUAUCUUUUGAAUCUCUAUCGGCCCAUUCUUUUACAGAAAAAAUUUUUCUAAAAAUUUAUAUUUAUCUAGAUAAAUAUUUUUUAGAAACUAUGCAGAUAAAAAAAUAAUUUAUUCAUAUUCUUUUAUACAUAAAAAUUUGGUGUUUGUAGGUUAAAAUUCCUAUCCAUACAUGGUUGCACGAUAGAAUCAUGGUAUAAAGUAAAUUAAUCUUUAUUUAUGAACUAUGUAGAAAAUGAGUUCCAUGCAAGAUACAACUUCAAUGCAAGCUAUUGAUUUGGCAAUAGAUAUAAGGUGCUCUCCGAGACGAUUGGCUAGUGUAAUUGAUAAUUUAAAUAAUGCACAGAAGGAUGUGGUGAAAGAGAUGGGAUUUGGCAGUAUAUUAUAUUUACCAGCGAUCAAUCUCCAUCAAGUUUUUUUAGCUUGGUUGUUGAAAAGAUGUGAUCCCAUUAAAAGAUCGAUCUUGAUUAACAACAUAGAUAUCUAUAUUACAGAAUGGGAUUUACAUUGCAUAAUAGGGUUGAGUGAUAAAGGAGAGGAGAUAUUGAGUCAAAAGCACAAACCCAAUCAAGUUUUAUUGGACAUCUAUGCUAUAGGGGGCAUAAGACAGAUCACUAUAAAUUACUUGAUUUCGUGUAUCAAGAAUAGUGAUGAUGGAGAUGAAUAUUUUAAAAGAAGAUUCAUUCUUUUACUAAUAGGAGUUUUUGUUGCCCCAUGCAUAAGGGCUGAUAUUCCUAUUUCCUACUUAAAUAUUGUUGAAGAUGUCAACCAUAUUCAUACAUAUAAUUGGGCAAAAUUCACCUUAGAUUUUCUCUUUUCAAAUAUUUCAAAGGUGCAGUCUGGGAAGGCAAAACAUCUACAAGGAUACCUUGCAUUUCUUUAGGUUGGAACUUUUAUAUAAUAUUCAAGUAAUCUUGUUCUUAUUUGUAAUUUAUUUUAUUUAAUUAUUAGGCCUGAAAUGUUCUAUAUGUAGUUCUGGUACUAUGAGCAUAUUUGGGUUUCUCUACCUCGAUCUGUUAUUGUUUCUCGUGCACAUCCUCUCAUGGGUUACUAGAUAGAGGAGCAUUGUAGACAUAGAGAGGAGUAUGAGAUGGAGCAUGGAUGGGGCAAUGGGGAGGUGAUAAUGCUAUUGAGUCUUCUUAAGAGAGAAGAGCCUCUGUGUCUAGGGAGGAGAUCGAAAAAUAUGAUGGCGAAUGUUAUGGAUCCCCAAGUAAUAUCAAAAUAAACUUUUAUGAGUUUGUACAUUUAUUAUGUAUGUCAAGCUAAUAUUAUUUUAUAUAGCAGAAGAAGCAUAUAAUGUUUGGAUUAAAUGAGUCACCACAAGAUUUAAAGUAUCGAGCCACUAGUAAGGAGGGGCCUUCUGAAAAUUGUAAAGGUGUGGAGAAAGCUCCUUCUGAAAUUUGUGAGAGUAUGGAGAAAGCUCAGGUGCAAGGCCACAAUCAAUUUUCAGAGGUACUAACAAUUGAUUUUAUCUCUUACUGUGAUCUUUAUUAAUAGAUGGGAUGAGAAAUACCAAUACUAAUUAUAUUGGCAGGAAAUAAUUCUUCUCUUUUCACGAUGUUUGUUAUCUUUGGAGCAACAAUAACAUCGUUUAGAGAGCAAAGUUGAUCAAGGGAUCUCACUAAUGCAAGAAAAGUUUCAAGUAUCAUAAAACUUUUGAUAUGAAAAAUUAUAAUAUACAUGUGUUGAAACGAUUUUUGCACUAUGAAUAAUUAAGAUCUAUAUGGAUUCAAUUUUUUUUUUUUCGUAGGAGAUAUUGAGGAGGCUAGAUGACAAGGUGCAAAUUCAACCCAUAAAUGAUAUACCAAUUGUGCAGAAAGAUUUAGAGUUACAAUGGAAUAUUUCUUCGACAUGCCAUGAGGUUACUUUUAUGCAGGUAGUCACUUAAGAAAAAAAGAAAGAGAAAAGUAUCCUCUCACACAACUACUAGAACUUUGUUAUCUGCUGUAGCUCAGAGAGUAAAGACAAGGUACCAGAAGAAGCCUUGUUCAUACGUAAAAUCUUCUUAGAUAGUAGAAUCCAAAUAGUACAGGAAAAGAAAGUGGACAAAAGUAUCGAAAAAAACUCAAUUAUAUUUCACCAGCUGUGAAGUUUUACCAGCAAGUAGUAUGUUAAAAACAUCAAUAGUCAAUGAAGACAUGCCUAGCAAUCCCAUUAAGAUACUUGGCAGCGUGCAAGUUGGUUUAAGCUCAGAUGCUCUAAUGACUAUAGUAAAACUAUAGUGUCUCCUGUUUACAAAGUAAUCCAUUGUUUUUAAGAAAAAAAAGAAAGAUGACUUGCACACUUCAUAUGUUUCUUUAGAUGAAGCAAAAAAAGAAAAGUAUCUUUGAUUUUAAAAUGUAACUACCAGUUACAAAAUCUAAUACAAUCGAUGAGAUAAUGUGAUUACUUGAAUCUCCGCCUGUUGUAACACUGACAGGCUGUUUCAAAUCUGACCAAUCUUCCAUCACAAAAGAAUCAUAAGUUAUUCGUGCUGGAAUACUCGUAUCAAAAUUCAGGAAUUCAAGUUGGCCUCCAAGAUUAAGGAGAAAAAAACAUCAGAGACAGAGUGUGGGAGAAAAACUGCUGAUUUAUUGCAUACAAAUUUCUAAAAGUGGCACACCAGCAAAUGAUAAUGUCAUCAAACCAACAGGAAAAGGAAAUUACAAACGGAUCAGAAGUCCAAGAAAUAGAAAUUACAGAACAACAUGAAAUCCAACAGAGAGGUUUAAAUCAAACAACGGAACCAAUGAAAGGAGGGGAAAAAAGCAUCAAGCGAAAGAUUGAAAAAAUCUUGAGCACCCAGUGAUCCUUUAUCUUCGAGAAAGAAACAGGAGCAUUGGUAUCUGGGUAAAGAGAAGAUUACAAUAAGAUUAGCGGUAUAACAACCAAGUUAAAGCUGCUAGAGAAAUUAAAAAUGGAAAAAAAAAAUGUAAUGGAAGGAGAAAUCACCGUGUUCAAGAGAGGCUGCUUCCAGACCCUUGCUUUAUCAACCCACUGAUUCUUCUGAUUCCAUCACGGUGGCAUCGAAAGAGGGAGGGUCCUUGGCAUGCCGAAUAUAUGAUGACCUGCCUCUUGGACGCCGACACUCUUCGAUCUCGACCUGGGGGAUCGGCUGAAUAAUGGGCCAGUGGGGGCCGUCCUUGAGGAAGGUCUUAAGCAGUGGCAACCUGCACUCUAGCCCAAAUAGUUUUAGAUUGGGCAGAGCAGCCGGAGCAUUUUGGAGUAGCUCCAAUAACCACUGUGGGAAGCGCUGGGGGAGGCGCUCUGUCUGUCCAUCAGCAUCCUUGGGGAAUAUCUCUAUGGAACGAGAUAAAUUUACUCUCAGGAAUUGCAACUUAUCAAGAUUCUCCACGUGCUCCAACCUCGGGCACUUCCAUAUUUCCAGAGAUUUCAGUAAGGGAAGGUUGUUGAUUUCUUUUAAGUUGUCGGCGCCCCCGAUAUUCAGUUCCUGUAAAUUGGUGGCAUGCCCGUAGGCCUUCUGGAAGAGCUCUCAGCUUGGGACAAUAAAAAAGAUCCAAUUUCGUGAGAUAAGGCGGGAUCCUCUCCUUUCUUCACCAAACCCCUCCACUGUACCAAACGGCCAUUCUUCCCAGUUGUACAUAUGGUAAAAUGCCAGUUGUUCAAGGUUGGGAAAUGAAGUCGCUGCUGACGAUGCACGGGGGCCAAGAAAUUCAGGUCCGAUGGUUUUGAUUGCAUCUGCCCUAUAAAUUCGAAGGGAUUUCAGCUGGGGCAACAGGCCUAGUGGAGGAAGAGCUCUCAGCUUGGACACCUUUCAAGUUCCAACUUCGUUAGAGGAGGCAGCGACUCGGGAACUCCGCUUCUUUCUUCACCAACCCCCUCCACCAUAUCAAACGAUCAUUUUUCUUAGUCAUACAAAUAUUAGGAUUUAAUGUCUUGAGAUUCGAUCCACAUUGAGCCCACAGCGAGAUCCGUAAUGAAAAAUAGAGUCCAAUGAGAUUAAGAUUACCUCAAAC